GUGCUUGCUUUGGCUGCACAUGCACUAGAAUUGGAAAGAAACACAGAAAAUUAACAUGGCCCCGAGAAGGGUCGAAAUGUAUAUUCGUGACGCAGUUCAUAUUUUU